AAUACCAUGGGCUUAUGAAUUGUUAGAGCCUAAACCACCACGUCAAGGGAAAGGGGAAACAAUGAAGAACGCCUCAUUUCCCAAGUCAAUCAUACUUAGUCCUCUCUCCCUCACACCAAACCUCUCAUCGAAGCCCUUACCCCACCGCUCUGGAAAUCGCCUCCGGUGGCGGUGAAGGUCCAAACACUAUCAAGUUUACCUCAUCUGGCUUGUUUUUAUUUCUUCUCACUCAAUCUCAUAAUAUUUUCUUUGAAUUCCUAACCAACGCUGCGAAUCAAACCAAAAUGUUCGUGAACCGUAAAAUUACAAAACGAAAUUAAAUGGUGCAGAUGAGCUAAAAGGAGUCCAAACCUUAGGGGUUUGGCUCCUUAAGAACGUCACUAUAUUGUGGUAAGGGAGAGGGUUCAAUUUAAAGAGGAAAAGGCGUGAAACCUACCAAUGAGAACAAGAUGUUCCCCGGAAAUUAUUGGAAUGAAGAAGAUGAAGCCAAAGAGAAUUCUAGAGAAAACUUCAAGGAGGAAAAUGCUCCAAGCUUGCUUUUCCUCUGCUAUCUUCGUCUUCUUCUUAAACUUAUAGUCUGGAUGACACAUGGUAGGAGGAGCAAGUCAUGGAGGUUGGCACAAAUGUUAUGAAGAACAUGGGUCAAGGUUUGCAUGGUAAGGUUCAUAAAAGUUUUGGCAAGCUAUCAAACAUGAAGAUCUUGACCACUUUGGAAUAUAUUGUGAAGGAAGAAAAUUAGAAUUAGGGUUUUAGGAUUAGGAUUAGUUCAGUUGACUUUGGCCAAUUGUUUGACCAAAAAGUCAAUAGUUGACCAAAGUCAAUUGUAGGUCAAAAGUGAAAUCUUGUGUAAUUUGGCUUUGUAAUUUGGAUUUUAAAUGUAAAAUGGAUGUUUUGGUAAUUAAAAAUGGUCUUAAAUGAAAUGUCUUGUAUGUUAA